CUUUCUAGUUAUACAUGAAUGAUAAUGACAGUUCAAAUACAUUUUGUCUUGAUUUUUCUACUACAUAGACCCUUUCAAAUACUAGAUUGAGGACAAUUUGAACAACAAUACACUUUCAUAUCUUCAAUCUUCAUGCACUACAAAAUCAGAAAUGGACAAGAUCCUCAAGUAUGUUCAAGCUAGCUGCAACAUGACUUCCCAGCAUGAUUGCAUUAUGUUCAACCUAAUUCUCCAAUUCUUAGAUGUUGAAGAUACACAUGAUUCAUCACGUUUUAGUAUUCAACAUGUGCGAAAAAGGAUAAGGGAGAAAAUGGGAAUCACUUUCCUUUGAUUUUCCAUUAUUUUUGGACUUUUCACAAACACUUGGUAUACAUAGUCUCUUCAACAACAUAAUAACACUUUCCAACAAUAAUGGAGGCAAAGGUCACUAACAAACACAAUCUAACAAACCUGCAUGUCACAAAAUUUGUAUAACAAGAAUAAAAUACAAGAAGAGAAGAUAAAUCUGGGUUACUACAUGAUGUACAGAUAAAACAUUAUUUGUUCAAUACAUGCAGUUAUUGGAAAGGGGUGGAACCCCAUUGCUAGAAGGAAAUUUAUAAGCAUAUCUGAGAGCCUCAGUCGGAGAAGUUGACCAAGGUUCUUGAAUAAACAAAUAGUUAUGUCGUUUUUGUUGUAAAUUCUUGAUUUCCGUGACAAAAAGUGAAGAAAAUGUUAUGCUUGUAAUUAACGUGACACCUUAGCAUGUUUGUUAACCGUCGUUAAAUU
rnacentral:lncRNA from 1 species